CCUACGGGUGGCAGCAGUGAGGAAUAUUGGUCAAUGGGCGCAAGCCUGAACCAGCCAAGUCGCGUGAGGGAUGACGGUCCUAUGGAUUGUAAACCUCUUUUGUCGGGGAGCAAGGCCCGCCACGUGUGGCGGGAAGGAGAGUACCCGAAGAAAAAGCAUCGGCUAACUCCGUGCCAGCAGCCGCGGUAAUACGGAGGAUGCGAGCGUUAUCCGGAUUUAUUGGGUUUAAAGGGUGCGUAGGCGGAAGGUUAAGUCAGCGGUCAAAUGUCGGUGCUCAACACCGGCCUGCCGUUGAAACUGGUCUUCUUGAGUGAGCGAGAAGUAUGCGGAAUGCGUGGUGUAGCGGUGAAAUGCAUAGAUAUCAGGAGGAACAUCGGUGGCGUAAGCGCUUUACUGGGCCGUAAUUGACGCUGAGGAACGAAAGCCAGGGUAGCAAAUGGGAUUAGAUACCCUUGUAGUC
rnacentral:rRNA from 1 species